rnacentral:rRNA from 1 species
GAUGAACGCUGGCGGCGUGCCUAAUACAUGCAAGUCGAGCGAACGGACGAGAAGCUUGCUUUUCUGAUGUUAGCGGCGGACGGGUGAGUAACACGUGGAUAACCUACCUAUAAGACUGGGAUAACUUCGGGAAACCGGAGCUAAUACCGGAUAAUAUUUUGAACCGCAUGGUUCAAAAGUGAAAGACGGUCUUGCCGUCACUUAUAGAUGGAUCCGCGCUGCAUUAGCUAGUUGGUAAGGUAACGGCUUACCAAGGCAACGAUGCAUAGCCGACCUGAGAGGGUGAUCGGCCGCGGUGGAACUGAGACACGGUCCAGACUCCUACGGGAGGCAGCAGUAGGGAAUCUUCCGCAAUGGGCGAAAGCCUGACGGAGCAACGCCGCGUGAGUGAUGAAGGUCUUCGGAUCGUAAAACUCUGUUAUUAGGGAAGAACAUAUGUGUAAGUAACUGUGCACAUCUUGACGGUACCUAAUCAGAAAGCCACGGCUAACUACGUG